rnacentral:lncRNA from 1 species
AUGGAAAUCAUCCGUGAGCAACCAUAUAAUUUGAUUUGCUAAGCAAUCUGCGAGGCGAUUGCACAUCAUUUAUAAUGUUCAUUGAGCAUUUUGCUUAAUUGUGUCUCUUUUUGUAAAGGAAGCACAGCCCCCUCCCGGCUGCGGCCGGCACAAGUGGCCAGAUUCCCAUGGACCCGCAGACAACCGCCGGCCCCGCGCGGGGUUUUUCCCAAGAGGAGCCGUCCCCCUACGCACGUCUGGGGGGCGAGAAAGGGGCUCAGGUACGAGCUCGCUGUCUGAAACCCCUCUGCUCACAGCCCGCGGCUCCGGCAGGUGCUGCCCGUCCAGGCUGGCGGGUGCCAGCUCGCUUCUGGCCGGGGCGGUGCGUCCCGCGGGCGGCGAGCCCCGGGAUCCACAGGUGCGGAACGGGCCCGGCGGCAGCGGUGCCGGGAAGGGCUGAUUCCCCUUGCCAGAGAGACCUGAAACCGGCAUCAGAAGGGAAGGGAAGACCUUUCAUGCACGACCUCGCUGCGGUCCGCCCCGUCCCGUUCCCCUACGUGUUUUGCCCCAGUCGGUCCUGCCUCCGCACUCCGGGGAACUUGCGCGCAGGCCGGCAGCGCGGCCAGAGGCCGUCGGUCCCCUCGGGGCAGGGAGGUACCGACCGGGGAACGGCGUUCAGCGGGACUGGGACGAGCCCCUCGCAGCCGGCGACCCCCCGCCUUUCAGGCCCCUGCAGGGAGCGGCAGGAGAAGCCGAGCACGUCUCGGUGGGAGCGCGGCUGGGGCUGGCAGCCCCUCUGCUCUCCGGCGGAGGGAAGACGGGAGCGGCCCCGCCGCUCGCCCGCACCUUUUCCCUGCCGCGGCCGCCCAGCCGCACCAUAUAAUUUGAUUUUCCCCCGUGCCCGCAGAUCGAUUGCAGCUCAUUUGAUACAUUCAGCGGUUCCUCGGGACGUGGAGGGGGGAGAAGGGCGGGCCGGGGGAGCCGGCGGCACAAGUGUUGGGAUUCCCAUGGGCUGUGCCUGCUCUCCAGCUUGCCGCACUGGCACCCCGGCCCGAGCGGCCGAAGAAGGGGGGUUUGCAGACACGGUGACCUCCGCGAUCUCGGUUUGAAAGAGCCUGAAAGGCGGCCCGCUAUGGUGCAUUACGAGCCCAGCGCCC